rnacentral:rRNA from 1 species
GCAGCUGAUCAGCAUGCGCGUGAGUGAGAGCUCGAUGUAAGCUCUGUAGCUGACGAU